GAAAGAUGGUUAUCGUUU
rnacentral:miRNA from 1 species